rnacentral:misc_RNA from 1 species
GAUGAAGAACGCAGCGAAAUGCGAUAAGUAAUGUGAAUUGCAGAAUUCAGUGAAUCAUCGAAUCUUUGAACGCACAUUGCGCCCUUUGGCAUUCCGAAGGGCACACCUGUCCGAGCGCCGUCGCACAACUGAGGCGCAGCCUUGCGUUGGCGGGCGACUUGUGAGUAGCGAGUCGUCGCCCAAACGAGACGGCGCCGCGCCGCGGCCGACGAAGCACGAAAGCGGAAGUCGACGCGGAGGCGGUUGCCUGUAGGAAGACACAGCUUGGCCUCGGAUCAGGUGGGGAUACCCGCUGAACUUAAGCAUAUCAAUAAGCGGAGGA